UACGAAGGGUGCAAGCGUUACUCGGAAUUACUGGGCGUAAAGCGUGCGUAGGCGGUUUGUUAAGUCCGCUGUGAAAGCCCUGGGCUCAACCUGGGAAUUGCAGUGGAUACUGGCAAGCUAGAGUGCGGUAGAGGAUGGUGGAAUUCCCGGUGUAGCGGUGAAAUGCGUAGAGAUCGGGAGGAACACCCAGGGGGAAACCAGCCGACUGGGCAUCUACUGACGCUGAGGUGCGAGAGCGUGGGGAGCGAACCGG
rnacentral:rRNA from 1 species